rnacentral:rRNA from 1 species
UACGAAGGGGGCUAGCGUUGCUCGGAUUGACUGGGCGUAAAGGGCGCGUAGGCGGUUCGUACAGUCAGACGUGAAAUUCCUGGGCUCGAACCUGGGGGCUGCGUUUGAUACGUGCGGACUUGAGUGCGGAAGAGGGUCGUGGAAUUCCCAGUGUAGAGGUGAAAUUCGUAGAUAUUGGGAAGAACACCGGUGGCGAAGGCGGCGACCUGGUCCGAUACUGACGGCUGAGGCGCGAAAGCGUGGGGAGCAAACAGG